rnacentral:lncRNA from 1 species
CAAAGAGGUGGACAACCUCUCCUGCAGUAGUAGCUCACCCUCAAAUUGUUCUCCAACUUCCCAAAGUUCAUCAGACUUGUAUCUAACUGUGGACUAAGAAGCAAAUGCCUGGAAGUGGAGAAAGAAAAAAGAUGCUGCUUAAAGUUCUAUUGCAAUAGUAUCAUAUUUGUUAAUUUUUAUUUUAUGUAAGAUACAACUGAAAUUUAUUUGUUUCACAUCAAGACUCUAGCUUGUUCUCUAAAUAAUAACUCCAUCACAAUUUUCCCUAUGAAAAUAACAUAGAAAUGUUCCAACUCAAUCCAGUGUCAAAAUCUGCAGUGAUGAUCAUGACCUACAAUAGUUCAGUUAAUUUUUUUGAAACUGAAUAGUUCAGUUAUUUCAUUGCCAAAUUCUGUUUAUUUGUGUAAGCCUGUAAGGUAAUAAUUAUUUAUGCAAGCAAUACUCCUGUAUACACGGUACACAAUGUGAGCAUCUAGAGAGUUUAGCCUCCUGAUACAUGACUUUACAAAAAGGCAUGCAGUCAUCUAUGUAAUUGGCACAUCAUACUUGCUCAAAAAUAUCACAAAAAAAAAAACUUGAAAAUUAUCCUAAUGAUACAAAAAUAUUUUCCAACCCUUCAAGCAAUUUUCUGUAUCCUAAUGAAUACAAAAGACUAUGACUUCCACUAAGCAGUAAGAAUUUAAAUCAAUUAUGAGUUUAUAACUAUUCCCAGUGAGGCAAGAGUUUUAUGAUGAAGAUAAAGUGUUGUGCUAAACAAUAAUUUAGUUUAGGUUAAAUAAUAUCCUCCUACCUGAAAUAACUACCAACCAAUUUCCCAGUCAAGUGCGAAGUUGGAAAAUUCCACACCAUACCCUGGAAAUUACUGAAGAUGCCAAAAAACAUCCCUUUUCCUCAAAGCUGAAGAGCCACAUCACAGUGCGAGCACCAAAAGACUAAGAAACAACAGACUCAACAGCGCGUAACUGGGCACCGCCCUCUCCUAAUAUAACUUUUAUUUUAUGGUCUACCCCUCCAUCCUACAAACAAAAUCAAGUGGGUGUGUGUGGUAAACAAAAGAAAACAGAAGCAGAGAAGAAAAAUAGAGAUAGUACCAAAUAUAGAGGAGCACUCAGCGGCUAUCAACGUGCAUAAUUAAAUAUUUAUCAAGUUUCAGGAACCAAGAGGUCCCAUCAGUUAGAUCAUCGAAGAACAUAAGCAUCUGGAAUAACACAGAAGCACACUUUACACACUUUUAAAGAAGAGAUUGCACGUAAUUGAGAACUUACAUAAGAACAGCAGUUUAAAGAAAGCUUCGAGACACGAAAAGAAAAUAUUCAACACCUAUUAGAAUACAGAAGAUGGAGGAGCAUGCUCUGCAUCUUUCCCAACACAGAGACGGUUAGCAAAACAAUUAUUCCAUUAGGACCACUUGCACCCUUGAGUCAAAUCUAAAAUACCCAACCAUAUCCUUGAGACCACUCCAAGGAAGAAUCCACCAAACCAAGCAAGAACCCGAAGAAGU